rnacentral:rRNA from 1 species
GACGGAGGAUGCAAGCGUUAUCCGGAAUGAUUGGGCGUAAAGCGUCUGCAGGUGGCAGUUCAAGUCUGCUGUCAAAGACCGGGGCUUAACUUCGGAAAGGCAGUGGAAACUGAACAGCUAGAGUAUGGUAGGGGCAGAGGGAAUUCCUGGUGUAGCGGUGAAAUGCGUAGAGAUCAGGAAGAACAUCGGUGGCGAAGGCGCUCUGCUGGGCCGUAACUGACACUCAGGGACGAAAGCUAGGGGAGCGAAUGGG